rnacentral:tRNA from 1 species
GCUCAGGUAGUCAAGUGGUUAAGAUGCUUCGUUGUGGCGGCUCAACAGCCUACAGCUCCGAAGUGACCCCGGUUCGAUUCCGGGCCUGGGCA